GGGGGGGGGGGGGGGGGGGGGGGGGGGGGGGGGGGGGGGCGGGGGGGGGGGGGGGGGGCUUCUGGGAUGUUAGCGGCGGACGGGUGGGUGGCGCGUGGGGGACCUGGCUAGCGGACUGGGAUAACUUCGGGAAACCGGAGCUAGUACCGGAUGCUAUUUUGACCCGCAUGGUUCACAAGUGCAAGACGGUCUUGCUUUCACUUAUCGAUGUAUCCGCGCUGCAUUAGCUCGUUGGUAAGGUAACGGCUUACCAAGGCAACGAUGCAUAGCCGACCUGAGAGGGUGAUCGGCCACACUGGAACUGAGACACGGUCCAGACUCCUACGGGAGGCAGCAGUAGGGAAUCUUCCGCAAUGGGCGAAAGCCUGACGGAGCAACGCCGCGUGAGUGAUGAAGGUCUUCGGAUCGUAAAACUCUGUUAUUAGGGAAGAACAUAUGUGUAAGUAACUGUGCACAUCUUGACGGUACCUAAUCAGAAAGCCACGGCUAACUACGUG
rnacentral:rRNA from 1 species